CCGGUGGGAGGCGACCGUCUGUGUUCACCAGCUUCUUCUCCAGCUGACGGAUCCGCCUCAGCACUGGAAACACGAACCAUUACUUCAUCAUCAUUAGCAUUACAUUCGUGGGCCUCGGUUGACUCGUCAGUGGCGAUGGGCUCCUGCGGGGACAGGUCCAGUUCCCUCAUCCUGGCCACCAUUCCCUGGGCCAUCUCCGUGUUCCGUUUGACCACCUCCGGGUCCACAUCCAGAUGGGCUGUGAGACAAAGACGCGCCUCUGCAGCCGGAUAAUGUGAAACAUCCUGCGAACAGCAGCACGAUUCUUCCUGCAGAUCCUUUUCCUGUGGUUUUCCCUGACCCACAGUGCACAUGCACCGAUACAAGACCUAUCCAUCUGCACCGUUUACACACUCAAUGUGUCAACCUUCCAUGUAAACGCAUCCUGAAAGUGCAACUAAUGGUUGCAAAUGGUUUCAGUGCUCACAGAAAAAAAAAAAGACAGAGCUUUGGCCCCAAAUGGUCGUCCGAGCAAUCAGGAGUAAGAAAACACAAGUUUAUGGGAAAACCACAGCGUCCCAGUGCUGUUUACCAUUUGUAAAGCCACUUAAGAGAGUUCUGAAAUGGUUCAGACCUCGCUGACAGUUGGUGAUGGGUCAAACAGCUGUAGUGUGUAUACACAGGGGAGUGCAGGACAGGGAGUUUAGGGUUGGAGGGAGAUGGAGCAGAUGGUGUAGAGGUAGAACGUGGACCCUUCAGACUUCUCUCAAAUGAGAGGAAUGCAUCUCAAAUAUACAACCCAGCAGCUUGUAGAGUAACAUUUUCCUGUUACCGGUCAAAGCUAGUGACUAGCUGGUGAACACAGUGGAGCAUUUAGCAGCUAAA